rnacentral:siRNA from 1 species
UGGGAAGUCCUCGUGUUGCAUC